rnacentral:tRNA from 2 species
GGGUGCUUAGCUCAGUUGGUAGAGCACCGCCCUUACAAGGCGAUUGUCGGCGGUUCGACCCCGUCAGCACCCACCA